UACGUAGGCAGCGAGCGUUGUUCGGAGUUACUGGGCGUAAAGGGUGUGUAGGCGGUUCUCUAAGUUUGGUGUGAAAUCUCCACGCUCAACGUGGAGGGGCCAUUCGAAACUGCCGUGACUCGAGUCCGGUAGGGGAGUGUGGAAUUCCCGGUGUAGCGGUGAAAUGCGCAGAUAUCGGGAGGAACACCAGUAGCGAAGGCGGCACUCUGGGCCGGUACUGACGCUGAGGAGCGAAAGCGUGGGGAGCGAACAGG
rnacentral:rRNA from 1 species